CUAAUUAAGCUAAGCUAGCUAGCUCGAGUAGUGAGGGUUCUACUAAUUAAGCUACUCGCUUAGCUCGAUCUGCUGCUUAGCUUGCUCAGCUCCGGCCGCCGCCGCCGCCGCCGCCGGCCAUGGCCAAGCCCAUCUGCAUAGCGCAGUUAUGCGGUCUGCUCAGCUGCAUCACCACCUGUGGCCCCAAGGACCACGGCAGGCGGAAUCAAAUAUUUAUCAAGACUUAAUAAUGAUAUAAAUCUUUUGAAUAAAUUUUAACUAAAAUAUAGUAAUUUUUCAAUGCAUUUUUUUGCCAGGCGUGAGGCGUGGGGCUCGAGCCCAAUCUACCCCACGCCUGAUACCGCUAAUGGACAAUGCAGCCGGUGCAAAGGAGGAAAGAGGUUCCUCCAACUUAAAGGCAAAGGGACACUGAGGCUGACACAUGGUCCCAUCAUGUAUGGGCUCACAUGUUAGUGACACGGAUCUCCUGACUUUAAGUUAGAGGAUCUAAUUCCACAAAGGAGACCCAUUGGGCUUUUAGCUCAGCAGACAGAGAUCAUGUCAAGAGGACUUCCACCGUCUGUGUCAGGAGGAUCCAAGCCUCAUACCAAUCAAUUAACAUAGAUAUCCACAUACCAUCUAAAGAUGGAUAUAUAAUAUCUCUUUGCUUAAUAAUUAUUCAAUGGGUAUAAUGCAAUAAUGGGGAUUAACCCUGACCACAAACAUUUACACAUGUCUGCAUGUUCAGUGGGACCAUAUGUUAGGUCUAAGCCUCUUUUGUAUGGAAGUGUUGUGGAGGUAUAUGUACCAUCUUAAAUAAAAGAA